rnacentral:lncRNA from 9 species
CUCCUCUCCUCCCCGGCCCCCACACCCAGCCGGAGCUCCGGGCUCGCAGGAGCCUCCUGCCCCAGGAAAUGCGCCCACCCCAGCGUCCUUUUCCCAGUGGGGAAGCUCUCCCGGCUUGAAGGAGAGGGAAGGAAUUGGCCUAAACCGCCUUGAAGGGGCCACGUUUAAAAGAUCCGGGCCCUAACUCUUGCCUGACCGCUCUCCUCUGCCAUCGGCCAGGCUAAACAGCCUGGGCAGACCACAACCGGGAGUGGGCCAUCCCAGGGCCAAGAUUUUGACGCAAAGUAGACAUUAGUGUGACCUCAGACAUACUCUCUGGGCCUCUUGUUACGCAAAAAUGGAGAGAGGCCGUUUUGAGGGGGAUCUGGCUAGCACCCCACAGGACAUGGGUGAAAGAACAUUCACCAUUAGAAUAACAGCACAGCCACACAGGGGAAAUUCCCAAAGGACCAAAGAACCACUCCAGUUUUUCAGUGCUGCCCUGGUAGAAGGCUGCUUCUAUUGGUGCCUACCCAGAGGGCUGGUGACAACAUCGGACCACCAGCCCGGGCAGAACAGGUGGGAAGCACUAACCCACAGGCAGCUGGGGAGAGCUAUGCAUCCUGUCCACCAUCCCAACAGAAGGCCAUUCCUUCUCACCUGGGUGAUGAGCAGAGGAGCAAACAGCACCUGGAGCUGGGGAUCAGAAAACCUCACCCAGAUCCCAGCCCACAGCCUGAUCAGCACCACCC